rnacentral:tRNA from 1 species
GCCCGGGUGGUGAAAUUGGUAGACACGCUACUUUGAGGUGGUAGUGCUGGUAAUACGGCGUGCUGGUUCGAAUCCAGUCUCGGGCACAA